GAGACUCUGUGCGCGUGCAUAUCAAUAAGCGGAGGAAAAGAAACUAACAAGGAUUCCCUUAGUAACGGCGAGUGAAGCGGGAAGAGCUCAAAUUUGAAAUCUUCAAGGUUCUACCUUGACGAAUUGUAGUUUAUAGAAGUGUUUCCUGUUAGUAGAGUGGCAAAAGUCCUUUGGAAUAGGACAUCAUAGAGGGUGAGAAUCCCGUAUUUGGUCAUUCUUUCUAGCUUUGUGAUACACUUUCAACGAGUCGGAUUGUUUGGGAAUGCAGUCCAAAAUGGGUGGUAGAUUUCAUCUAAAGCUAAAUAUUGGCGAGAGACCGAUAGCGAACAAGUACCGUGAGGGAAAGAUGGAAAGAACUUUGAAAAGAGAGUUAAACAGUACGUGAAAUUGUCAAAAGGGAAGCGUUUGACACCAGUGUUGUUUUUCCGAAAAUCAAUUACGAAUGUUUUGUUUUUGAGAAGUUAUGACUUCAUCGGCUUGCUUCUCUCUUUACGAAACUUUCUUAAUGCACUUUUCGGUUAACAAGUCAACAUCAAUUUCUUUUGUUGUAAAAGGGUAUGAGGAAGGUGGCUUUCUUUUCGGAGAAAGUGUUUAUAGCCUUGUAGCCUCUGCAAUCGGAGAGAUUGAGGUCUGCAGCGUAGAUCCUUCGGGGUUAGAUACAGUUUGUGCUAAGUUAUAGCUUUUCAUAGACAACUUGUUGACUAUGUUUAGUCUUGUAGCUUACUCGCUUAUGCUAUUAUACCUACGCUUAGGAUGUUGACGAUCAGCUGAGCGCG
rnacentral:rRNA from 1 species